rnacentral:rRNA from 1 species
GUGCAGCAAGCGCGAAUCUUCCCCAAUGGACGAAAGUCUGAGGGAGCGACGCCGCGUGAAUGAAGAAGCCCUUCGGGGGUGUAAAAUUCUUUCUUUAGGAAAAUUCGUGAUGGUACUAAAGGAAUAAGGGGCCGCAAACUCGUGCCGAGCAGCGGCGGUAAAUACGAGUGCCCCGAGCGUUAUCCGGAAUUACUGGGCGUAAAGCGCUAAAAGGCGGUUUGAUAAGUCAGACGUCAAAUCUCCGAGCUCAACUCGGAGCCGGUGUCUGAAACUGUCUAACUUGAGGACGGAAGAGGCAAGCGGAAUGGCUGGUGUAGCAGUAAAAUGCGUUAAUAUCAGCUAGAACACCAAUGGCGAAGGCAGCUUGCUU